GGCUACGGCAGGUCAGUAUGCCCCGAAACUCUGGGGCCACACGCGGGCUGCAAUGGUAGUGACAAUGAGNUCCAAACUCGAAAGAGAGUGGCAAUCUCUAAACGCUACCACAGUUAUGACUGAGGGCUGUAACUCGCCCUCACGAAUAUGGAAUCCCUAGUAACCGCGUGUCGUUACCGCGCGGUGAAUACGUCCCUGCUCCUU
rnacentral:rRNA from 1 species